rnacentral:lncRNA from 1 species
GAAAUCACAUUCAAUGUGUUCUGCUCUGAAAUUAUCUUAAUUGGCUCUGAUCUGUGCUCACUAAUCUGAUUCCAAUAUUAUUGCCUUGAGUUAUAUGAUUCAUAUUCUUGCAAUAAUUCAACAUUCAAAUCAGAGUACAAUAAGGAAAAGAAAUAUUUGAGUAUUCUGAUCUUUGUGCUUAAUGUUUCCCUUUUUUUUUUUGAUGUUGUCAAAAAGGGGGAGAAAUAUUUAAGUAUAUGCUUAUAAUGCUUUUUGUAUUGAGUACAAAUCAGCUUAAAUUGAAAUAUGUUGAUUGUGUUAAGCUGAUUGAAUCUAAAGCAGUAUCAUGAAGUAUGUUUCAAAUAUAUAUGUUUUCUAUUUCAUGCAACUUAGCUAUGUAUUACUUCUAGAAAACAAUAUCUUUUAUAUUGCAUAUACUCCAAGUUUUGUCAUCAUCAAAAAGGGGGAGAUUGAUGACCCAAAGAUUGAUUCAUAGAUUGAUUUUGAUGAUCACAAACC